AGAGAGAGACAUGCGCGCAUAUCAAUAAGCGGAGGAAAAGAAACUAACAAGGAUUCCCUUAGUAACGGCGAGUGAAGCGGGAAGAGCUCAAAUUUGAAAUCUUCAAGGUUCUACCUUGACGAAUUGUAGUUUAUAGAAGUGUUUUCUGUUAGUGGAGUGGCAAAAGUUCUUUGGAAUAGGACAUCAUAGAGGGUGAGAAUCCCGUAUUUGGUCAUUCCUCCUAGCGUUGUGAUACACUUUCAACGAGUCGGAUUGUCUGGGAAUGCAGUCCAAAAUGGGUGGUAAAUUUCAUCCUAAAGCUAAAUAUUGGCGAGAGACCGAUAGCGAACAAGUACCGUGAGGGAAAGAUGAAAAGAACUUUGAAAAGAGAGUUAAACAGUACGUGAAAUUGUCAAAAGGGAAGCGUUUGACACCAGUGUUGUUUUUCCGAAAAUCAAUUACGAAUGUUUUAUUUUUGAGGAGUUAUGACUUCAUCGGCUUGCUUCCUUUCUUUACGAAACCUUCUUAAUGCACUUUUCGGUUAACAAGUCAACAUCAAUUUCUUUUGUUGUAAAAGGGUAUGAGGAAGGUGGCUUUCUUUUCGGAGAAAGUGUUUAUAGCCUUGUACCUCUGCAAUCGGAGAGAUUGAGGUCUGCAGCGUAGAUCCUUCGGGGUUAGAUACAGUUUGUGCUAAGUUAUAGCUUUUCAUAGACAACUUGUUGACUAUGUUUAGUCUUGUAGCUUACUCGCUUAUGCUAUUUUACCUACGCUUAGGAUGUUGAUAGUCACAGCGUGUAC
rnacentral:rRNA from 1 species